rnacentral:rRNA from 1 species
GACGAACGCUGGCGGCGUGCUUAACACAUGCAAGUCGAACGGGAUUUAGUAGACAGAAGCCUCGGCUAAAGAUUACUAAUGAGAGUGGCGAACGGGUGAUUAACGCGUGAGCAACCUGCCUAUGACAGUGGGAUAGCCUCGGGAAACCGGGAUUAAUACCGCAUAAAAUCGUAGAAACACAUGUUUUAACGGUCAAAGAUUUAUCGGUCAUAGAUGGGCUCGCGUCUGAUUAGCUAGUUGGUGAGAUAACAGCCCACCAAGGCGACGAUCAGUAGCCGGGCUGAGAGGAUGAACGGACACAUUGGAACUGGGACACGGUCCAAACUCCUACGGGAGGCAGCAGUGGGGAAUAUUGCACAAUGGGGGAAACCCUGAUGCAGCGACGCCGCGUAAACGAAGAAGGUAUUCGUAUCGUAAAGUUCUGUCAUAUGGGAAGAUAAUGACAGUACCAUAGAAGAAAGCUCCGGCUAAAUACGUG